rnacentral:piRNA from 3 species
AUUUGGUGUAUGUGCUUGGCUGAGGAGCCAA